GGUACAACUCUCAGCAAUGGAUAUCUCAUCUCUCACAUCGAUGAAGAACGUAGCGAAAUGCGAUACAUGAUGCGAAUUGCAGAAUCUCGUGAACCAUCUAGUCUUCGAAUGCAAGUUGCGCCUGAGGCCAUCCGGCCGAGGGCACGCUUGCCUGGGCACCAACC
rnacentral:rRNA from 1 species